GAUGAACGCUGGCGGCGUGCCUAAUACAUGCAAGUCGAGCGAACGGACGAGAAGCUUGCUUCUCUGAUGUUAGCGGCGGACGGGUGAGUAACACGUGGAUAACCUACCUAUAAGACUGGGAUAACUUCGGGAAACCGGAGCUAAUACCGGAUAAUAUUUUGAACCGCAUGGUUCAAAAGUGAAAGACGGUCUUGCUGUCACUUAUAGAUGGAUCCGCGCUGCAUUAGCUAGUUGGUAAGGUAACGGCUUACCAAGGCAACGAUGCAUAGCCGACCUGAGAGGGUGAUCGGCCACACUGGAACUGAGACACGGUCCGGACUCCUACGGGAGGCAGCAGUAGGGAAUCUUCCGCAAUGGGCGAAAGCCUGACGGAGCAACGCCGCGUGAGUGAUGAAGGUCUUCGGAUCGUAAAACUCUGUUAUUAGGGAAGAACAUAUGUGUAAGUAACUGUGCACAUCUUGACGGUACCUAAUCAGAAAGCCACGGCUAACUACGUG
rnacentral:rRNA from 1 species